rnacentral:rRNA from 1 species
AACGGGACGGCUAACUACGUGCCAGCAGCCGCAGUUAUACGUAGGUCCCGAGCGUUGUCCGGAUUUAUUGGGCGUAAAGCGAGCGCAGGCGGUUAGAAAAGUCUGAAGUGAAAGGCAGUGGCUCAACCAUUGUAGGCUUGGGAAACUGUUUAACUUGAGUGCAGAAGGGGAGAGUGGAAUUACCAUGUGUAGCGGUGAAAUGCGUAGAUAUAUGGAGGAACACCGGUGGCGAAAGCGGCUCUCUGGUCUGUAACUGACGCUGAGGCUCGAAAGCGUGGGGAGCGAACAGGAUUAGAUACCCUGGUAGUCCACGCCGUAAACGAUGAGUGCUAGGUGUUAGGUCCUUUCCGGGACUUAGUGCCGCAGCUAACGCAUUAAGCACUCCGCCUGGGGAGUACGACCGCAAGGUUGAAACUCAAAGGAAUUGACGGGGGCCCGCACAAGCGGUGGAGCAUGUGGUUUAAUUCGAAGCAACGCGAAGAACCUUACCAGGUCUUGACAUCCCGAUGCUAUUUCUAGAGAUAGGAAGUUUCUUCGGAACAUCGGUGACAGGUGGUGCAUGGUUGUCGUCAGCUCGUGUCGUGAGAUGUUGGGUUAAGUCCCGCAACGAGCGCAACCCUUAUUGUUAGUUGCCAUCAUUGAGUUGGGCACUCUAGCGAGACUGCCGGUAAUAAACCGGAGGAAGGUGGGGAUGACGUCAAAUCAUCAUGCCCCUUAUGACCUGGGCUACACACGUGCUACAAUGGCUGGUACAACGAGUCGCAAGCCGGUGACGGCAAGCUAAUCUCUGAAAGCCAGUCUCAGUUCGGAUUGUAGGCUGCAACUCGCCUACAUGAAGUCGGAAUCGCUAGUAAUCGCGGAUCAGCACGCCGCGGUGAAUACGUUCCCGGGCCUUGUACACACCGCCCGUCACACCACGAGAGCUUGU